rnacentral:RNase_P_RNA from 1 species
UCAGUCGGCCGGACGGCCGCUCCGGCAAGGUCCGAAAGGACGCCGGGGAGGAAAGUCCGGGCUCCACGGACAAACGGUGCCGGAUAACGUCCGGCGGAAGACGGUACGCGCAAGCGGACCGGUUUCCAGGGACAGUGCAACAGAGAGCAGACCGCCGCGGCCGCGCGCCGCGGCAAAGGGUGAAAGGGUGCGGUAAGAGCGCACCGCGCCGGCGGCAACGCCGGCGGCACGGCAAACCCCACCGGGAGCAAAACCGAAUAGGAGCGGCGCGGCGCGCAAGCGCCAGAUCUGUCCGGAUCAGCCGUUCGGGUAGGUUGCUUCAGGCGCCGGGCAACCGGCGUCGCAGAGGAAUGGCCGUCACGUCCGGUCCGUUCGCGGACCGGGCCAUACAGAACCCGGCUUACAGGCUGGCUGAUACU